GACAGGGAGAGCUUAAUGGUGGUUUUAACCCUAUAGGGUCAGGAAUACAUGUUUGUGUUCCUGCCCUUUAGUGCUCCUUUAAUACACUUAAUAUGUUGUAUAAUUCGUUCUGCUGAUUUGUACUAGAAUGUAAUUACUUUACCCACCACUGUGACAUGUUAAAAGAGCUAAACUGGUUGUCGCUGGAAUCCCGACGCACUCUUCAGCUUUCCAUCCUUGUGCAUUAGAGUACUUCAGGGACGUUCCCACCCAACCUGAGUAGAAUGCUCUCCCCUGCUCUUCCGACCUCCUAUAAUCUCCAAUCCAGUACUUGCACGAUAUAUAGCAUACCGCAAUACAAAAAUAAAGUGUCUCAAUCCUCUUUUUUUCCUACAGAGCACCACAAUUAUGGAAUAACCUCCGUGACACAGUCAAAUCUAAAAUCUUUUAAGAGAUCUAUGGCAAUAUACCUCAACACAGAAU